GGAGGGAUGGCUGAGUGGUCGAAAGCGGCGGAUUGCUAAUCCGUUGUACGAACUUUUGCGUACCGAGGGUUCGAAUCCCUCUCUCUCCG
rnacentral:tRNA from 4 species